GGAUGAACGCUGGCGGCGUGCCUAAUCCAUGCAAGUCGAGCGAACAGACGAGGAGCUUGCUCCUCUGACGUUAGCGGCGGACGGGUGAGUAACACGUGGAUAACCUACCUAUAAGACUGGGAUAACUUCGGGAAACCGGAGCUAAUACCGGAUAAUAUAUUGAACCGCAUGGUUCAAUAGUGAAAGACGGUUUUGCUGUCCCUUAUAGAUGGAUCCGCGCCGCAUUAGCUAGUUGGUAAGGUAACGGCUUACCAAGGCAACGAUGCGUAGCCGACCUGAGAGGGUGAUCGGCCACACUGGAACUGAGACACGGUCCAGACUCCUACGGGAGGCAGCAGUAGGGAAUCUUCCGCAAUGGGCGAAAGCCUGACGGAGCAACGCCGCGUGAGUGAUGAAGGUCUUCGGAUCGUAAAACUCUGUUAUUAGGGAAGAACAAAUGUGUAAGUAACUAUGCACGUCUUGACGGUACCUAAUCAGAAAGCCACGGCUAACUACGUG
rnacentral:rRNA from 1 species